rnacentral:ncRNA from 1 species
AAGCAUAACACAAUAAGAAUGGCAUACAUACGUGCAGCGAGUCAUGGUGGUUGGAGAUGACCGUCCCUGUAGCCUUUUAAAUCAGUUAUGAAUUUGUUAGACUGAAAUUUAAGUAAGUUUAACCGGUGCAGACCGUUAAUGCUGAUUUGAGAGUUGUUUACUUGUAGACAACUAAAACUGGGUGGUACCACGUGAAAACGUCCCUGUG